rnacentral:hammerhead_ribozyme from 1 species
AUCUAGAUGACGAGUUUCGAAUAGAACGAAACGUGUGUCUUAGAU